GCCCUUCCUCAGGAAGCUGUAGGCUGCCUCUUUAUGGUAGUCUCCUGUUUUUUCAAGAACAGGAUGUGUGGUUUCAUCCUCAAAGGAGCUGUACUUUCUGAUUUCAUUAGCCUCAUGUGCUAGAAACCUCUUUCCUUCUUCUUCAUGCUUCUUUGAUGCUCUUUUGCUUUCCAGCACUUCCAUUGAGGGCUGCCACUGUUCUGACUUCUGUGUGCGUUUUCCUGAUGAGUCUGAGCUUUCUGCUGAAGCAUGGAAUCUCAACUCAUCUUUUGUGGCAGCGCUCACACUUCCAUCACUACGUGACUUCGCAUGCAUGUCUCCAGCAAACAGUGCAGAAAGGGCAGAAGCCAUUGCUGAAACUGAUGUUGAAACUGUACUUGACAGGGGAGUUAGUUUUCCACUUUCGUUUUGCACCGGUUUACUCUUUUUCCAUUGCAUCUGCUCAACUUCUCCAAGAGUGACUGGCUGGGUCUGGUAACGAGUAUUCAUCCUUCUGUGCCUAAUAUCUCCCCGACUCCUUGUGGAUAUAGCCCUGGAUACUGGCUGAGACAGUUUGUUAAACAAAGCCAUCUUUUCUGCCAAGCUUAAUGUGGAAGAAUCUGGUUCAUCGGAUUGAUCUUGCCCCAUCGCCUCUUUGGCUGCUCUUAUCUCCUCUUUAGCUAGUAUUUUUUGGUGUGCUGAUGCCUGCAAGGUAGCUGCAAUGACCACUUCCUCACUGGUAAUAGGCUGCGUGUGUGAUCUGUCCUGCAAACGCCGCAUUCUUCUCUCUACUGCUGAGCUUCUCGUAGGUGGUUUAGGAAUAUUCUUCAUUUCAAAAGAUUUUUCCAUUUCUCUAAAAAGCAGUCUCUUUGCAGCUACACUUAGUUUGGCUCGGUCAUCUAAUUUUUCUUCAUCGUCAGCAGUUGGUAUUUCAGCACACAUAAUAGACCUUUGUCUGAUGUUACUGUGCAAGGGCUGAUCAUUCUGCAAAUGGAUUGGUGAGGCUGCCCGCUUUGGUGAAGAAAGAGACUCUCGGGGGCUUUGCUUUGGUGAUAUUGGCACUUCAUUACAGGAGGAAGACUCUCGUCCAGAAAGUGUUAGUGAGACAGAACUAUCCAAUGUUGCUGAAGGGUCAGAAGCCUGUCUAAUGGCACUGUCAUCAUCUGCUCUUUUAUCACUCUUUUCAUUUGAAAGCUCUUCUUUAGCUGGAAUACCAUCUUUUUCACGGCUAGAGUACUCCCUGGACUCAGAAAGCACACUCUUUGACUCCUUCACCUCAGUCCUGGACAAAUACAAGGAGCCAGAGUCCUUGUUUUCAUCAUCAUGCCUUUCACUUCUCAAUGCCUUUCUUUCCACACUGUCAGGAUCUUUUCUUGCCCGGGAAUAUCUGGAUGAGUAGUCAGAAUCCAAAUCAGAAUCAAGAGAUAAUCCAUACUUUUCUGCCAGUUGGCGCCGUCUCUCUGCCUUGUACCUAGCUAUUCUUUCUGCUUUAGACUCUAGUUCAUGGGUAUCCAUGUUUCCUGUACUGUACAAAGACUCUGUAUUUCCUCCUGUGGUUUCUGUGCGGUAUCUGGAUGAUCUGGGUUGUUUCUCUACAGAAGAAUCUGAAGCUUCCUCCUCUUCAUUUGAUCUUCCUAAGUGAUGACUGUAUGGAUCAGUUGCACGCAUAUACCUUGGUGUGUCUUCUUCUAGUAAACGGUGUGUGACUGACCCUGGGCAGUUCUGUAGAAGCAUAGGUUGCGUAUCAUUUUCAAUUCCCUCUAAGCGUCUAGCUAUUCUCUCCUUUCUUUUCAUUUCCAAAAACUCUUGGUUGUUUGGUUCAAACAGUUUUCUUAAUUCUGAAACUUUUGGAAGUACUGCUAAGAGGUUUGCAUCAAUAUCCUUUGUGCUGUUUGCAAGUUCUUCUUUAUCUUCAAAUGAGAACUCCUUCUGAAAACUUAACGCUCUCUUCCUGUGGAGCAGUCGUGAAGGUUUAAAUCUAACCGAGUUUCCUUUGUUAAAAUCUUAAAUCCCAGUCAUCCAGGCCCUACUCUCCAGGUAGAUCUGUAUCACCAUGACCAAGGCAGUCCUCCUCCUCGCAGCCCGCGGCUCGGGGCAGCCGCAGCCUCGGGCAUCCGCGCCUCCGGCCGGAGCGGAGCGGGGCGGGGCGGGACGGGGCGGGGGAAGCGGGGCGGCCGCGCGGACCCCGCGGCGGGGGCCGCCGCCUCCUCCUCCUUCCCCUCCUCCUCGGCGGGGCGGGGCGGGAAGCGCCCGCCGCCACAGCGCCCAGCGGGGCGCGCAGAGACUCGAGCUCGGCGGGCGCGCGGGGGGCAACCGCCGGCAGCGGCCCCACGCGGGACGGGACGGGACGGGACGGGACGGGAGCGGGCGAGACGCGCCUCCACUUGGCGCAGCCCCGCCCCUCCCCGCGCACCCCAACCGCCCGGCCCCGCUUCCGCGCGCCUCCUGCGGGCGCUGCUCCGCUCCUUAAAGGGGCCGCGCCCGGCCCGGCGUGGGGUGCGGUGUGAGGGGCCCCUGACCUGAGCCCCCUGUCACGCCGGACGGCCCUCCGUGUCACACCGAGGCCUGUCCCGCUCCCUCGUUGGUCCCUUCCAAAUUAGCCAUGAGUUGUUCUUUGGGCCCCCGGGAAAGAGACCAGGACCCCACCUCAGCGCGCCGGUGGCCCUCCCUGUCACAGCCCCCAGCAGUGCUGAGGUGAGGGGGCAUGGGGACACGUUCACGUUCUCUGAUAUUAAAUAGCCCAGAAGGUAGAAUCACCUUUAUUUUUAACCAUUUUAUUUAGACAGACAUUUUUCUAAGUGUACUACGUGAAGGAUUUCAGUCCCGUUCCUCUUGAUCAGGUCUCAGAAAGCAACUUGAAAUGUGAGCAUGAGAAGAAUUACCAAAGAGACAAUCACUCGGGGGGUGUUGAACCUGAGAGCUUGAGCAGACAGUGUGUGGAACCCAAAGGAACGGCUGAUUCCCUUCUGCUCAGCUCCGUGCGCAGGAGGAGGGAAUCUCAAGGUGCAGAAACGUGCUAAAAGGAGGCGAAUCGUAAAACCUUCAAAUCAGUGCCCAAAAUGCACUCUGCAGGGCACGCUACAAAGUGCCUCCCUGCAGCACUACGGCAGCUUUGUGCCCUAGGCGAGCUCUAAAGGAGCACUGAGGGCCUGAAGCACUGCUGGGCUUUAUAGCUCUGUGCAGGCAGAAGUUUCUUAAUUGCUGGCUAAUGAUGCGGUGUGGGCACUGCCUUUUGCCCAGUGGUUAUGAAUUACUUUGUGCAGAUACACAAAACCCACAUCAAACAGAAAGCACAGGCAGGUCAUUCCAGUCUGACUGAGGGAGAGAAGGAGCGAGGCUAGCACAGAAAGGAGGGCAGAAAUAAACCAUAGCAAGGUUAGAAAUCCUAGAGUGGACAGUGACCUUAAAAGUGUGCUUCCUCCUGCUGCCUUUCAGCACAACUCCUGUCAUCCUGAUUGAAACUAUCAGAGGUGUUCUCUCUCCCUACAGAUAAAAAAGGCGGCAGCUUCUCACUGGAACCACCAAGGAAUUUUGAUCCUGUAAGAAAUGCCCUAUAAAAUGGGCCUGAGAGGGCUGUCUGAGUGGGGGAAAGUGCAAUUGGAUGUUACAUUUGCUUUUGUUGUGAUUGAUGUGACUCUGUCCGAUUUAUUUUCAAAUAUCAGAAUGGGUUCUGGAUGGAACUCUUGCAACCAAAACCUGUGAUCCAUUUGCCAAGAGCUGUUUUUACUCCAGUUGAGAACCGAUUUGUCUGGAUUUUGCCUUAGGCACAGUCCUUACCAUCUUCUGCCAGAGAUUUUUUCCCCCUGCAGACUUAAUCCAGGAUCCAGAUACAUGAUUGUUUAAAAUUUACAUUUAAAAAGGAGUAAAAGAUUGAUUGGAAUUCCAGGGGAGGAGAAGGAGGCAUGAUGAUAUAUUGGAAUCUUUUGUUCCCAGAAGAACCAGGAAAGAAUUAAGAUUAUUAAAGAAACGUAAUUUGGGUCAGACCAAGCAUCUAAAUCCACAUCAGUUAAAAAGAUGAUUUUCCCUACAUUUUUAAUGUGUUUGACACAAGCGUGUUUGAUUUAUGAUGGGAGUCAAAACCAUCUGUAUUUGGGGAACAAGCACAUACUUAUUUAAACAAUGGGGCUGCCUGGGGGGAGGCAUAGGAAAGAAAUGACAUUCUUUUGCAAAGAAUUCGGUGUUUUUCACUCCAUGAAGUAACUGGCACUGGUUUGAAAAGUGCUCUGCAGCAGGAACAGUAGCUCAACCUAUCUUAAAGGAGUCCAGCAGUUUACCUUUAUGCAAUUGGUAUGAUAGUGAACAAGGUUAUCACUGAUAAAGCUCUGCUAUUCCCUACUUUCCUUUCAGUGACCCCUGUGAAGAGAAUUGGUCUCAUUGGGCACCACUGAAAAGAGCCUGGCCCCAUUCAUUGGACUCCCUCCCUUCAGAUAUUAGGGACUUGUUCUAACUGCAGAUGAGGCUGAAGCAAAGGAACCGUUUCCUGAACAUGUCCUCAGCUCUCAUCUUGUGCUGAAAUAGUUUAUUUGAAGUUUUUCAGGGAAGAAGUGUUGAGGGCUAUCAGGAUGACAUCUACAGCGUUAAGUUCUAGCCUGUGCUGGGUGGAGAUUCCAUUCUGUAACCAGAUGCUGUGCUCCAUAUGGAUUGAUAUGAUUAGAAACAGGCUUGGAAAUAACAUUUAACUUUACCAGUCAGCUUCCCAGAGCUCCGUAAGCCAUGUGAAUGGAUGUUGUGCCCGCUGCUUCCUUUAAAUGCAUAACCUUGAAUCCAAGCAUCCCUGCACUUAUGGGACCUUCUUGGCAAGCUGUGGAACUGAUCUCCAAAGCUCAACACAGUCGAUAUCCCAUGACAAAGAUGUGCCUCACUGUAAAGCCCAGUGUAAACUAUGAACGUCAACAAAGGGGCCAGAGGAGAGACAGAAAUAUGUCUGCCCCUGCAAGGUUUCCACAUACGGAGAAAGCAGAAAGUAACAAUCUGCAUUUCAGCUGCUUUUCUAAAUGAAUGUAUUCAACCAUGUGGCGGGCCGGUAGCUUUCUCUUCCUGUGUGAGGCUAUGCCAAACUCGAGCGAGGAAGCCCAGGGUCUUUUAAAAGAAGGUGAGAAAAACUCAAUGGCAAGUGUAGAAUUUUAGAAAAGAGCCAAAGCCUCUGUCCACCCUCAGAAGAGCAGAACGACAGAGCUCUGGCAGCCACUGCAGCCACCACCGAUUUAUUUACGAGUUCCUGGAGUCGAUCCAGUGUAAUUAUGGGCCUGAACUCCAGAUCAGAUUCACUUGACAUUUGAGAAAGUCUGUGGAAAAACAGUAAUAAUAAACUGAUAAUAACCAUCCGUCUCGUAAGCAAUGAGAAAUAAAGGGAAGAGAAAGGGCAGGUGGGGAGAGGGGAAGGCAGCAUAAUCCCCAAAAGAUCUCCUGUUUGUCAGGAGAUACUCUCAGUGUACAACCCUGUGUAUUUUCUAGAAAGAGCUGCAGAGAAUUUUGGAGUAAGUCCUGAAUCAUGUCAAUGCUUUUGCUAUUACUGCACUGGAAAAAAUGAAGAUGGUGGGUGCAGAGGAAGCUGGGAUAAGUUGGGACGGCAGUUUCUCUUGGUGGAGCAGAUAGUUUGUGGCCCACAUGGCAUUUAUCCGAGCGUGCUCAUCACCUAAAUUACGUUACCAUGAAACCGUUGGCUUUGGAAAAAGAUGUUUGAAGAAACUAUGCUUCGGCGUUUGAUUUAUUUUCAAAUUCAUGCACUGAGUAGAAAUAGGCUUUGUUUGUAUUGUACUUUAUUGCAAGUCUCUCAUUCUGCCAGUUCAUAUCAUCGGUAUAACACGGAUGAGUAUUAGGGUUAAAAAUAUUUGUAUUUAAAACAUCUGCAGUCUUAUAUCAGGAUUUAUAUCCCAUUGUUUGAUCCUUCCCAUCUGAAUCACCCCGUAUUGUUUCCUAUUGAAUUGCUGGGAGAUGGCCUCACAAAGCAAACUCUCUGGGAGGUUUCCAGAAAAAAAAUAUUUUUCAAGUAAGAUAAGUUGAUUAAUUCUGCUGAAUGGAAAAGGCUUCUUCUAUGACAAGAAAGAGGCCUGACAUUUAGUUUACAGUUGUCUCAAGUAUUUUAUUUCAGGUGAUGGAAUUGAAUUGCAAGUUAUGAGUGAAUGUUUAAUGAAGCAAGAAGAGUUACGUUUGUGCUACAUCCAAACAGCAUUUGGUGAGUUUUCCUUAUGUCAGGUUUCAGGGCGUAUUAACUACGUAUGCAAAGAUACAACAGAGCCCAUAUAUGUCAAUAGGUUUUCUCAGAGGGAGCAUUCCAGUUAGUUGCUCUCAUCAGACAACAACCAAAUGUCGAGUGCCCUGGCAAUCAACACCGAGCGCCGUAACACUAGACGGUAUCUGAAGGAAAAGGAAUCCUGGGUGGAUGAAUGGGGUUAGUGGCCCAGAACAUGUCAUCUUCAAGUGACCUGCUUCGCCACACUCACGUAACUUCUCAGGAACACCUCCCUUGCAACAUGGGCAGUGUAGCUCCAGUUGUGAAGGAGAAAGGAUAUCGAAAAAGGAACAGCCACAGCUGUAUGCAGAACAAUGAAUGCGCACUUCUUUGAGCUCAGUCUCUGUGAACUGCACACGUUGGUUGUUCAGCCCGUUCUUCCUGAUCUGACAAUGGUAUCAAUUUUUUUCUGCUUAGGAACAUUUCUAGAAUUGUAGUUCUAUGUUAUUUAAAGCUUUUUUUUUUUUUUUUUUAAUUUUACAUUGACUUUUUAUUUAACUUUAAUUGACAUUUACUUAACAGUUCAGGUUACUGUGUUAUUUCUGUAUGCUUUGAUAUUUUCUUCUAUAAAUAUACAUCUCAUAGGUCUUGAGGAGGAGACUUAACAGUCUGGAGAUCUGGUGUAAGGUCAGUAACAAAAUGUAAUACACAGGAAUGCAAUAUAUUUUUUUCCUCUUACCUACCAUGCAUCUGGUUUUCACAGACAGGCCCUUUUCUUGGUCCUGGUAUUUCAUAGGAGCAGAAUGCUGACAGUUGUCUGGGACAGCCUGACCAGAAUAGCAGCUCAGCCUGAGCUGUUGGAUACCUAGAGAUCCCAGACACAUUCACCAUGCACAGCAGAUCAGCCCCACAGAGUAUGCAGUACUUCCACAGAAUUAGAACUUUGGAGCAUAUGUUGCCCAGAUGAACUGCACAACGCGUGGUAAACCCACUUACUGUGUGAAGUCAGACUAACCAUAUAAUUUAUGCACUAUACAUGUGAUGCACUGACAUGCUGGCCUCACAGUUAUCUUCUAUUCUGCAUAUGUAUAUGACUUCCACUGAGUAUUUCCUGGGCAUGAAGUGACUGUCUUUUUAUUUCCUUGCUUGUAUAUAUCGCAUGAUGAGACGCUGCUACUUGGAAAUAACUAAUUUUUGUUUGGGAUCAGCUCAUGAAAUUCUGCAAGGCUUUGUUGUAGAUGGUCGGCUGUGUUUGCAUCCAAACCACUGAACUCAGCGGAAUGUUGGAGCACAGCACUAUUGGAGGCACACUGAAUAAAGCUUUCAACUACUGACAGCAUCUGAAGAACAUCAGGAAAAUGCUGAAAGCCUAGGUAAAUAUCCUUCAGAAACCAGCUGGCAUGGCUGUGUGGGUUUCAGCACAGGGCCUGUCUGCCACAGAAUUUUCUUCAUGUUAUUUGGUGUUACAGUCCUCACAUGGAGCUCAUAGUUAUUAAAAUAAACAGCGCUUUUAGAAUAGAGCGCAGGAUUUUGAACUCCAUUCCUCUCUUGGCUUCCAGUGCCACGUAACAAUCUCAUGGCAGGAGUAAUCAAAAUAAUUCCGUGACGAGAAAAAUCACCCCAUUUUAACAAUCCCAGUUUGCUGUUCAUAACUAUUGCAUGAGUUAUUGGCACAAAUAUGGGCAUUAGGCAGUGUCUAAGAGGAGCUUAAUGUAGGUCUUCCAGAGGUACUGCCUUCCCUGGACAAUAUCAGGCUGCGCCCAUGUGCAUCCUAGAGACCUCAGGAAGAACAGAUUUUCUUUGCACAGUGAUACCAUCAUUUACCCAUUCCGUGAUUGAGGCACAAUGAAGGCUAUCAUCUGUGAUGUUAAUGGCUUUAAUAUACAGGCUCAUGCUAGGCGCAUAAAAGAAACUCCUCAGGCUUCUCGGCCUCAGCUGGCUGUGGAGCCACGGCAUGAGUUUGUAGUCUGGUUCUGCUUUCUGGAAUGACACAUGAAAAAAGGAUGGAGCAAGACAAGUGCCAAUCCGUUCGCACGCAGGGCUCUCCCCCCAUGGAAGACCCUAGAGAUUCCAGCUCCUUGCAUUUGUGUAAUUGGGCUUACCCAGUUGUCUGGGUAGCCAAAUUACACAAAUUCUGUUCCAUGGAAGUAUUGUUCUGCGUGGCUGUGUUUGUGUUUGCAACACUGUGAAGGAGAACUCAAAUUUUAAACAACAACGCAAAAAAAAAUAAAACAUGAAAUCAAGGUGUUUACUUGAAAACUCCUACAAUUAGAACUGCAAAUGUUUCAAUAUGUGCAACAUGUGAUUGCUUAUGUGGGACAGCAUGAGAGUGGACUGCCUAUUGGGAGCCCUUUUGGCUCUCAGUUUUGCAGAAUGUCUUGGCUGCAGAGGAAGGAUUGCUUUGCACUGCUUCGGAGGAACACCAUUUUGAUUCUAAAUAGUAAAUUCUCUGAACAAGUCAAGGCAGCAAGAGUACAUGGGAACUUCAAAUGAAUUUCCUUAAUUGUCUCAUCUGGAAAAGCCAAGAGGGAAGGAAUCAAAGAUUAAAAGUUUAAUCUUGAUAUUUUCACAAUAAAUGCUUUGAUUUUGGAUUUGGCAGUGACACAUCAGUUUUAUAUUUAGUUUAAUUUUGAAGAGUUGCAAAAUGGGUAAAUAAAUCUAUGAAACAGAACAGCUGGAAAAUUCACAACUGUGAAGGUUUUCAAAUUUCAGAAAUCUGUGGCCUAUGUGGCUCCAUAGGCAGCUCUGGGCACUACUCAGAGAUCCAGUAAUAUUCAAAGAUUCCAGUGAUAUUCCAGCAUGAAGCCGUGCCUUGGUGUCUUCAGCUGGCGCUAGAACUGGUGAGUAAUAGAGCCUGACUAUGGAAGUGGAUGGUCCUGAAUGAUCUGCUAGCAGUAAUGAUUUAUCCGUACAACUCUUGUCCAACUUAAACAUGGGCUUCCCCUGAGACCCACAAUGACAAAUAUUUAAAGAUAUGUGAGAACAACAAACUGUUAAAAUAAUUCCUCCUAAGUCUUAUAGCCGCCAAUAUUAUGCAAGCGUACGGUAUGAAUCAUGUUAGCCUUCCCUGGAAAAGUCUGAGUUUCUUGCAGUCUUUCACUAGGAUCCUGCAUUGUAAUGGCUCAUUCAUUAUUUAUAUUCUUUCUUUCACUAAUGGGUUAGCAGCAGAUAUGAGAGGAGUUAGAAAAAAAACCAGAAAUCAGUGAAGUGGAGAUAUUUCUUAUUAUCAAUCCAUAUCAAAGGACACGUAGCAGGCAAAACUGGAGCCCUGAGUCUGUAGUAGGAGUGAAAUACUUGCAGUCUCAUCAUGUUCAUAACCAGAAAAGCUAUAUGGAAUCUAUUCUCCUCCAAGCCAGUGUGUUCACAUGUCAUCUGUGUGAAAUAAAGAUCCCAUUUCUGAUAAAGCAACUUUUCAGAGGAAUAGUGUAAGGCUAUUUGAAUAGGGAAGCUGUAAUUCAAACUAGUAUCACUCUGUACAUCUCAGAGCUUUUUCAGCAAAUUUUUACAGCUACAUAAAACUCUCAAGGCAGGAAUUUAGUAGAAAGAUGCAUUUUAUGAAGCAAGCAUUUGUUUAUUACCAAGUGAUGCAGUGAGUCAUUUGGCGACCCAGUGGUUUCCUUAUUGCAUGGCUGUACUGUGAAAUUCCACAUGAAAAGUAGGAACAGUCUCCACGUGUUGCAUCACAGAAAUGCUGUCUUUAGUAUGAAAUGAUUUUGUUGAUGCUCUUAGUUGUUCUCUGUUUGUCUACAGUGUUACUCAGUGAGAUGAAAUAGCAGACAUAGCAUAUGGCAUCACCUAUAUCUCAGUAUACAAAAAUGGUGGUUGCAGUGAUGCUGAGAUGGAAACUUGGUCUCAGAAUACACAGUUUGCAUUCAAACCACUAUACGUAUUUCUGAAGUUAUCCAGAAUAUUGCCACUCUACUGUAAGCAGUAAAGCACAAAGGGGAAAGAAGAUUUUAAAGGACAAGCUUGUAAAUCCAUUUGCAAUGUCAAUACAAUUUCAGACACAUUUUCCCCAGCCUCAAAGAUAUUGUUGCCAAAGAUUUGCGACAGAUUAAAAGCACCAGGAAAACAUAAACAUCUCAGCUCUGACACUGUGUCAACAAGCAAUUUCCAUAGUGUUUUGCAAAGAUCAGAAAUUAUUCAGUGAUAAAAUGCAUUAUCCUAAACAACAGGGAAAACACUCAAAUCAAGGACACAUUCUUUUCCGCCUUAUAUCUUAUUUACUCGUUUCUUUAGGCCCCAGUUAAAUGUAUCACUGAGGCACUUCAGAAUACUUCCUAAUUUACAAUAGUAAUGCUUGAAGGAUUUAAGCUAAACAUGCUGUGAACAGAUUUGCCAGAGUUAGGCUUUACAGAUUUGAGAGAUGAGCUCAACGGCCAGGACAAGCUGCUGUUGAUACAGGUUUGUGGCAAAGAAUGCUGGUAGUUUGAGCUGUAUUUUUGCUUCUUCUUUUCAACAGCCUAGCAAGUAAUAUAAUAGCUGGAGGAAAAAAAAAUGGUGUGAUGCAGCAUGGCAACAAAUCUCUCUUCACUAAUACGUUCCGAAGAAUGGCUGCUGAAGCUGGGGAUGACCAAGGGAGCACCGAGUGCCUGGGAGAAUCUCUGCAGAGUAGUUGCAUUGCUGUGAACUCCACCAUGCUGCUGGAAUAGAAAGGAAGAGCCAGAUCAGAAGCAGUCACACAGGAGAAGGUUUCUGAAAGCCCAGUGGGCUUUAUGUCAUGAGAAGGUCACGAGCAGUGAGCUGUCAAACUGUGCAUUGAGGCCUUACUUCUGCUGUAAAGUUAUGGCUGUAUUACUGUACCAGGUAGUGGAAAAUCAGGCUCAACAGUUAUUCUUCAUUAAAUGUAAAAUGUUUGCAUUUUAGCCAAUUAAAAUAUCUCAGUGUGUUCAAAUAAUCUGUAAAUCCGUGAUUCUGGAACCUGCCCAGAACUAAUUUAAAAAGCCAGUACCUGUAACAAAGACGUCACAAGUCAAAGAAUAUUAAAAGUGCCUUACUGUUCUAUAAAAUGAACACAGUUGGGUGAGAUUGCUCAGUCAGCAGGGUUGGUCAUGCUUGAGCAGGCUUAGCUCACUUUAAGUGCACCCUCUUACCUUAGGGUUGGGUCUUCUACCUGUGCUUCUCUGGUUCUCCACUGUAUUCCUAGUGCUGGGCAGGCACUUUGUAAAUAAAUAUUUUCCAAUUUGAAAAUGCCAGUUCAACAGUGGGAACUGGUAUCAAGUUGUGUGUUUCAAAUUGGAAGCAUUCAUUCUUAGUAAAAGAGAAUUUGUUCAAAGCUCAUUGCAAAGCUUUUGGAAUUGAAUGCUUCUUAUUUACAAUGCCUCUUUCAGAAAAGCUCUUUUAAAAAAUAAAAACAUUUUAAUAAAAUGGUAUAUUUCUAUUGACAGGGCAUUAGGGGAAUGUUUUAUUACACGGGAAUUUACAAAUUCUCUGGUCUUUUUUCCUCUUCAAACUUGGACAUAUUUCAAAAUGUCAGAAUUUCCUGUGGAACAGAAUUUUCAGUUCUGACAUACCCUUGUCUGUUGAGCCCUUAGAAUGAAGAACAGUCAUUAACAUUGGUAAUCAGCCAACAAACCCAAACUUGCAGGAGAGACAAAAAAGGUUAAGAGAGAGAGAGAGAGUAGAAAUACCUUAUGCAGACUUUUGUACUCAGCAUGUCCUCAGUAACUCAAGCAUACACACAAUUGUCUCUCUAACUGAACUUAGGUAUGGGAGCUUUCUAGCCCUAAACCUCUGACAUUGUUGUAUAAAGGAGGCAUCAGUGGUAUGGUACAACCCAUUCUUCAAAUCAUUUUUUUCAGCAAGCUGAAAAAUAAGGAAUAAGAUGAUAGGCUUUGUUUAAAUCUGUAGCAAAAAUAAUCACUCAUAAAGUCAUGGAAUGUGGAUGCAAGCAUUUGGGGCCUUUUAAAGCUGCCUUGCUUUGCUCAGCUGUACUACUUCAACUACUCAUUGUUGGCGUACUUGAAUCUUCAUCUACAAACUUGGAAAUCUCAAUUCCCCAUCUGAGUUAAAAGUCUAUAAUUUAUGUCCACAAAGUCUUCUGGUUUUUUUUUCAAGGAAAUUUAUCAAGUGGUUUCUCUGUCUCAAAUCCCCUUUCUGAAGAUUAAAAGAGGGAAUAUCUAAAGAAGAUAUAAUAUCCGGUGGCAUUCAGCUACUCAAUAAGAUUCAUUCUGCCUAAGAAGACGAUGGAUAAUUCACACUAUCGGACCAAUUUUCUUUUAAUUCCUAGAAAUGCUUCCAUCAGAUCAUAUACACCAAUGUAGACAAAGAGAGAGAGAUGUGGAGAGAUUUGUAGACAUCAGUAAAUACAGCCAGUUGACUUUUGAUGAACUGAGGACCAGAGAAAGAAUAGCUAAUGAUUUGGAAGGAGGUUCUGUGGUACUAUUGCUUUUAAAAGAAAUAAUUUAAAAAAGGAACCAAAAAAUGUUCAGGGCUUUGUUUAUUACAAGAAUGUAUAAAUCUGGGUGCACAAAGAACAAAUAUGCUAUCUACAUAAAACACUUCAGUUUCCUGGCUCCUCCUACUUGGAUUUACUGGAUUAUAGCCAAGGAGUCGUAACUGCCAGAUUUUUCUCUAACAGAAAACCCAUCUGAGCGGAAUUUAGUAUUGGCAGAGGAUGUUUGGAGACAUGUGUGAAAAAUUAGGAACCCUUUAAGGGAAGAAGUCACCCAAUUAAAAACGUGCAGAAAAUAAUCCAUCAUACAUUCCCAUCAAAUCCCUUUUGCUUUCAAGUACCAAAAUAAUGACUGGUUGAGACCCGAGUUGAGUCUAGAGCUGGCUGAACUGCUUAUUGUGGAUUGAACAUUGUUUUUGAAGGGAGAAAAUUCUGAAAUGAGCUUUUUAAUGUUUUUAGUCUUGAUUUUAAGUUCUUUCCCUGUGGAAUAUUUUUGCAUUAAUAAUAUUCAGUGUUUUGGCUGUUUGAAUGAGCUUUCUUCAAGCGUUUUAGUGUAUUUGUACGUGCCAUGUGUUUGUACUUUCAAGUAGUGUUUUUCCUGUCUGGAUGACUCUUAAAUUUUAAAUAGGAUCACAAAUCAAUGAAUGAAAACAUCAAACUGUCACAUAUUCAGUUUCAAGAGGAUAAUCACUUUCUUAAAACGUAUGAAACAUUUGUAAUCACAGGCAUUUGGACGAAGCGCUCAGUGAUUUUCUAAGAAGCAGCACAAUAAUAAUACUAAUUAACAGAUCACAUUCUGCAGCUUAUGAGCAACCAUAUUUGCUACUUAAGAGGCUUUUAGUUUUGCUUUGUAAAUACUGACUCAACUCUACCAUAAUGCGUGUGGUACAGGACCAGUAGAAUGUAAAACAGGGAGUUAGUUUUUCUGUUGUGCUGAGAAAACCAAAAAGCUGCAAAGGAAAGAAAGCUCAGUGUUCUUCUUCUUCUUUUUUUUUUUUUCUUCACCCCAAAAUAGAGCUAAGUGUUGGAUUUCACAAUUUUGUAAUUAUUAAUCAAAACACAUUCUUCUUCAAAGUAAUAGCCCCAUUUUUAUAGAAAAAGUCAAAAUAAUUUCCUUAUUUCCAUAGUUAAAUAUUUACUUUCCAACAUUAUGAAACCUUUGAGUGGCAUUCAUUUCAUCAGCUAUAAGAAUCACAGUUUCAAAUGCAUACCCUUGAACAAAAUAAAUUGACCUCCAGACAUGCCUGUUUCUCCACAUUGGCUAAAACUUUGGGGUUAGACAAAAUGCUUAACUUAGUCUUGGCUACAGAUAAGUAUUUUCCCAAAAGAAACUCUCCCCAAGCCUGUCUUUUUUGGAGUAGGUUUGAAAUUGCUUUACAUAUUGAACUCUUAAGUAUGUGAUUGCUUGUCAGCUCAAACUUGAGUUACUCCACAUAUUUGGUUCGGCUUCACAUCUGAAGAAUGCCCCAGAGAGAGAAAUGAUCAUAUAGCCUUUACUUCUCUACCGAAUUUAAGUUCCAUUAUUUUUUCCCAUUUUAUCUCUUUUAUCAUAGCUGCAGGGUAUGUUACAGAGUUAUCCUUUACUCUGCUAAUCAAGAAGAAUGUGUCUAUUAUUCUCUACAUUUAUUUCAUAGAAGAGAUCACUGUUCCUGGGCAUAUGCAAGCAAACUCUUCACAUCACCAGACAUCAUUGGAAGUCUGAACAGCACACUGAAUUUCCAGCUUUGUGGCUUCUAUGAUUGAUUAAAAAGACACUCACAACCUGUGAAGAUUAAAUAACUUUAAAAUGAAUAUGAAAUACAUUUUGUAUCCUUAUAUUGAUGAAACUACUUCUGGAAAUAAAGAGAUUUAAUUUAGUACUUUUUGUUUCUUGUGCAAAUUGUGGUAUCCCUAUCAAUGUAUGUCUUAUUAGACAACUAGUUACAACAUUUUUUCAUAGAAUCAAUGCAAAAUUCAAGGAAUAUCAUAAGAAAGGGAAGUCUAGUCUUCUGCUCAAAACAGGACUAGCUUCAAUAUUAGG
rnacentral:lncRNA from 1 species